rnacentral:rRNA from 1 species
UUUUGUCGGAGAGUAAAGUACGCUACGUGUAGCGUAUUGCAAGUAUCCGAAGAAAAAGCAUCGGCUAACUCCGUGCCAGCAGCCGCGGUAAUACGGAGGAUGCAAGCGUUAUCCGGAUUUAUUGGGUUUAAAGGGUGCGUAGGCGGCACGCCAAGUCAGCGGUGAAAUUUCCGGGCUCAACCCGGAGUGUGCCGUUGAAACUGGCGAGCUAGAGUACACAAGAGGCAGGCGGAAUGCGUGGUGUAGCGGUGAAAUGCAUAGAUAUCACGCAGAGCCCCGAUUGCGAAGGCAGCCUGCUAGGGUGAAACAGACGCUGAGGCACGAAAGCGUGGGUAUCGAACAGGAUUAGAUACCCUGGUAGUCCACGCAGUAAACGAUGAAUACUAACUGUUUGCGAUACAAUGUAAGCGGUACAGCGAAAGCGUUAAGUAUUCCAUCUGGGGAGUACG